rnacentral:lncRNA from 1 species
ACAGGGUCAAUGUGGAGGCUAUGUACAGGGUAUUACGGUACAGAGUCAAUGUGGAGGCUAUAUACAGGGGGUACCGGUACAGAGUCAAUGUGGAGGCUAUAUACAGGGUGUUACGGUACAGAGUCAAUGUGGAGGCUAUAUACAGGGGGUACCGGUACAGAGUCAAUGUGGAGGCUAUAUACAGGGGGUACCGGUACAGAGUCAAUGUGGAGGCUAUAUACAGGGGGUACCGGUACAGAGUCAAUGUGGAGGCUAUGUACAGGGGGGUACCGGUACAGAGUCAAUGUGGAGGCACCGGUACAGAGUCAAGUCUGAGUAGCCAUUUGAUUCAUUGUUCAGCAGUCUUAUGGCUUGGGGGUAGAAGCUGUUUAGAAGCAUCUUGGUCCUAGACUUGGCUCUCCGGUACCGCUUGCCGUGUGGUAGCAGAGAGUACAGUCUGUGACUAGGGGUGGCUGGA